GGAUCAAAUUGUCGGUCGUGCCGUUGGUAUGCACUGUUAUCAUUGAUUUCUCACCUUCUAAAGAACCGUAAUGCCAUUAAUUUGGUGUUACGGGGAAUUAGGACUGUUACCUUGAAAAUUAGAGUGUUUAAAGCAGGCUCACGCUUGAAUACAUUAGCAUGGAAUAAUGAAAUAGGACAUCCGAUUCUAUUUUGUUGGUUUCUAGGAUCGAUGUAAUGAUUAAUAGGGAUAGUUGGG
rnacentral:rRNA from 1 species